ACCUGCACAGCACCUCCAUAAAAAUAGGGAAAGAGCUCCUUAACUUCCCCAGCAAAUGAAGCAUAGAAUUUACAAAUACCUCUUUCAAAGAUCAGUCCAUACCUAUCUGCUGCCCUUAAACUUUCCUGGAAGCAAGUGAAAAGCUUGUCUGAAGUGUGCUGAAAGUCUUUCCAUAAAAUAGGCCAAGUUUCUACUCAGCUUACCACGAAUAAAGAAAAUACAAGAAAAAAGAGAAACUUAGUUCUCAAAUGUUUUGGUCGCUCCUCUCACAAAAAGGAACUGAGCUGCUGAAAGAAGGGCCGGGAAUUCGAACGGCUCCGCACAGGGAUCUCAGCCCAGAGGGAACCAAGACAGAGGGGCGCCUGGAAGUGCCUGAAUGGCUGAAAGGGCACACAAAUAGAGCACACAUGAAACCUAAGCAGGCUGAAAGGUAUUUGUGUCAGGAUCAGAGGGAUCAGUGAAUCAUCAAUACAAUCGACUGCUUUGCAUAGAACUGUAUCCACUCAGGAAUGCUAGCACAAGUUUUACUGCCUUUUAUUGUUCCCUGCUGUUAAUGUACAUUUAAAGUGAAUCCCCAUGCUUCAGAGGAGGUUCAGCUAUUUUCAGCUACAAGAACAUUCUGCUGUUCCACACAGUCACGUGCUGUUACUGGCCUAACUGGGAAAGAUUCAUUCAACUCGAGCAAUUUUUAGAGAAAGACUUUUCCACGAGAAUCGUGCAAUAACUAAUCUGAUGCUGAGCAGCAGCAUUAACACAAGGACAGAACUUGCAAAGCUGAAUGCACACCACAGAAUUGCUCAAUUCAGGACCCCACAAGCCAGGCCAGUGGUCUCUCAGCUCGGGCUGCUUUUGUGGCCUGCUUUAACAGCCCACUCUGCAUUAUCCCAGCAGCUGCUGGGGCAGCUUCCAGCAGAGCUGUUUGAAAACCAUUUCAAUAGCAGCUUUUCCAGAUGUAGGUUCAGAGCAAGCCAAAUGCUCUGGCUCUUCAGGAUAAAAAGCAAACUGGAAGCUGAGUCUGGAACUUUCAGCUCAAAGAAUCUGCUCUGAAACACUGUAAAGGUUCCACAGGGCUUCA